rnacentral:tmRNA from 1 species
GGGCUUUUCCCGACCCCGGAACGAGCCUAUAUGUAAGGGGCUGGGCAACCAGCUAUGGCGAUAAACGUUGCACGGAAUAAGCGUUACGGACCCGGGGGCAGUACCCGGCGCCUCCACCAUAAACCCAUUUGGGCUCCCAAUUCGGCUUCGGCCCAAUGGUGGGUCCCCUGAUUGGAAUAUCAAAGUGGGCUUUUAUGGGGGCGAAACAGGCUCGACGUGCGUAGUAAAGGUCCAAUUUUCGCUCGGCAAGAUCCCACCGUUACCGGGUCAAACACUACAGGUGCCAAUGAUAAUGAAAUGGCCCUCGCUGCUUAAUUAAGGUCCUAGACCUGACGUAAGACAAGCGCGGCCCGGGGGGCGCCGGGCAACAGAAGCCCCCCACC